AGCGAACGCUGGCGGCGUGCCUAACACAUGCAAGUCGAACGUGAAAGCCUUCGGGCAAGUAAAGUGGCGUACGGGUGAGGAACACGUGGGUAAUCUACCCUAGAAUCUGGAAUAACUUGCCGAAAGGCGAGCUAAUACCGGAUAGAGCGAGAAUCUCGUCAAGGGGUUUUCGGAAAAGGGAGCUCGUAAGAGCCCUCGUUUUAGGAUGAGCCCGCGUCCCAUUAGCUUGUUGGUAGGGUAAUGGCCUACCAAGGCUACGAUGGGUAGCUGGUCUGAGAGGAUGAUCAGCCACACUGGAACUGAAACACGGUCCAG
rnacentral:rRNA from 1 species